rfam:Bombyx mori DNA, contig: Bm_scaf152_contig40231, strain: p50T/Dazao, build 2, whole genome shotgun sequence.
UUAACUCAAAUUUGUAUGGAGUUGAAACGUUUGCCUACGUUUGCCGCUAGAGGCGCUGUUCCAACUGAAUACGAAUUUGAGUUA